AAUGAAGUGGCUACAUUUCCAACCUUCUCACAUGACAGACUGCAAACUUGGCCAUAAAAGAUGAGAAAAGAGAAAGGCUGAAGAUGUGUGGGGAAAGUACAGAAUUCCAUAGGACUUGUGUCCAGGCCUAUAAGAAGAGUUUCUCUGACUCUCUGCUGAGUAGAACCACUUAAUCUGAUUUCAUUAUUGUCAAGAUUUUUAUAUCACCAGAGAAAUUCUUUAUCAUUAGAAUGCAUCUAGCAAUGAACAGGACUACUUGUGCCAGUAUGUUUUAUGUUGCUUUGAGGGCCAGGCAGAAAAAUAUCACUUAGUGACUGAUGAAAAACAACAAAUAAA
rnacentral:lncRNA from 10 species